UGCCAGACUCCUACGGGAGGCAGCAGUGGGGAAUAUUGCACAAUGGGGGAAACCCUGAUGCAGCAACGCCGCGUGAAGGAAGACGGUUUUCGGAUUGUAAACUUCUGUUCUUAGUGAAGAAUAAUGACGGUAGCUAAGGAGCAAGCCACGGCUAACUACGUGCCAGCAGCCGCGGUAAUACGUAGGGGGCAAGCGUUAUCCGGAUUUACUGGGUGUAAAGGGAGCGUAGACGGCAGUGCAAGUCCGGAGUGAAAGCCCGGGGCUCAACCCUGGGACUGCUCUGGAAACUGUAAAGCUGGAGUGCGGGAGGGGCAGGCGGAAUUCCUGGUGUAGCGGUGAAAUGCGUAGAUAUUAGGAGGAACACCAGUGGCGAAGGCGGCUUACUGGACGGCAACUGACGCUGAGGCUCGAAAGCGUGGGGAGCAAACAGGAUUAGAUACCCUUGUA
rnacentral:rRNA from 1 species